GCCAUCCAACCAAGAUGGCCGCCAUGGCUAAAAAUAGAACAUGGGGUAAAAUGCAGUUUUUGGCUUAUAACUCAAAACCCAAAGCAUUUAGAGCAAAUCUGACAUGGGGUAAAAUUGUUUAUCAGGUCAACAUUUAUCUGCUCUGAAAUUUUUAGAUGAAUCGGACAACCCGUUGUUGGGUUGCUGACCCUGAAUUGUUAGUUUUAAGGAAAUUUUGCUGUUUUUGGUCAUUAUCUUGAAUAUUAUUAUUGAUAGAGAUAAACUGUAAACAGCAAUAAUGUUCAGCAAAGUAAGAUUUCAAAUAAGUCAACAUGACCGAAAAUGGUCAAUUGACCCCCUUAGGAGUUAUUGUUCUUUAUAGUCAAUUUUUAACAAUUUUCAUAAAAUUUGUAAAUUUUUACUAACAUUUUCCACUGAAACUAAUGGGCCAAGUUCAUUAUAGAUGGAGAUAAUUUUAAGCAGCAAGAAUGUUCAGUAAAGUAAGAUGUACAAACACAUCAACAUCACCAAAACACAAUUUUGUCAUGAAUCCAUCUGCUUCCUUUAAUAUUUACAUAGACCAAGGUGAGCGACACAGGCUCUUUAGAGCCUCUAGUUCAUAAAACUU
rnacentral:lncRNA from 1 species